GAAAAACCCCCAUUUGCUGCAGUCAUGCUGGAUGCAAUCAUACCAGAAGUACAAACUGCAGGCAGCUGGGGAGAUUCUUCACUGAACCUGGCAGUCGCAUCGGGAACCAGCUGUUGGCUGAAGGCAGAUCAUUUUAAGGACUGCAAUUCCAUUUUGGCACAGGCAAGAGCUGUCAAACUGCAACUAAAAAAACAACAGGUUGGUUCUGCUCGGAUGAUGCCAGACUAUUGAACUCAAAGUCGAGACUUGCAUUUGGUUUAUCUACU